CGGAGCGUUUAGAGUUCCGGCUGCUCCUUAGGGAUCUCUGCCUCCUCACCAGCAGGCUGGGAGCCGGCCCUUCUCGCUGUUUCUGGCGUCUGCCUCCAGCAAGUCCUCCCGUUUCUCUACCUCUUCCCUCAUUUCCCGUCUGCCCAGCUUUGUGUGAAACCAGACGACAAAGGGUGUUCGGAUUAAGAGCCAGAUGUUAGAGAAAUUUCUGGAAUGUUCCAGGUACACCUAUGUCCUCCAACACGAAAGUUAAAGCAUGUCCUUGAGACUUCUCAGACACCACUGCCACUCUCUUAGAUGAGAAAACCGAGGCAGUUUGAAGGCUGCAAAGAAGUCAGACACGGGUCCCGCCACGAGAAUUUACACCAGGGCUGCAGGAAAGCAUCGCGUGAGGAUUGAGAACUUGGGCUCUG
rnacentral:lncRNA from 1 species